GACGAACGCUGGCGGCGUGCUUAACACAUGCAAGUCGAACGGAAAGGCCCUGCUUUUGUGGGGUGCUCGAGUGGCGAACGGGUGAGUAACACGUGAGUAACCUGCCCUUGACUUUCGGAUAACUUCAGGAAACUGGGGCUAAUACCGGAUAGGAGCUCCUGCUGCAUGGUGGGGGUUGGAAAGUUUCGGCGGUUGGGGAUGGACUCGCGGCUUAUCAGCUUGUUGGUGGGGUAGUGGCUUACCAAGGCUUUGACGGGUAGCCGGCCUGGGAGGGUGACCGGCCACAUUGGGACUGAGAUACGGCGCAGACUGCUACGGGAGGCAGUAGUGGGGAAUCUUGCACAAUGGGCGGAAGCCUGAUGCAGCAACGCCGCGUGCGGGAUGCCGGCCUUCGGGUUGUAAACCGCUUUCGCCUGUGACGAAGCGUGAGUGACGGUAAUGGGUAAAGAAGCACCGGCUAACUACGUG
rnacentral:rRNA from 1 species